rnacentral:rRNA from 1 species
GACGAACGCUGGCGGCGUGCCUAAUACAUGCAAGUCGAACGCAUUUUCUUUCACCGUAGCUUGCUACACCGACAGAAAAUGAGUGGCGAACGGGUGAGUAACACGUGGGUAACCUGCCCAUCAGCGGGGGAUAACACUUGGAAACAGGUGCUAAUACCGCAUAAUUCCAUUUACUGCAUGGUAGAUGGAUGAAAGGCGCUUUUGCGUCACUGAUGGAUGGACCCGCGGUGCAUUAGCUAGUUGGUGGGGUAACGGCCUACCAAGGCUGCGAUGCAUAGCCGACCGGAGAGGGUGAUCGGCCACCCUGGGACUGAGACACGGCCCAGACUCCUACGGGAGGCAGCAGUAGGGAUUCUUCGGCAAGGGACGCAAGUCUGACCGAGCAACGCCGCGUGAGUGAAGAAGGUUUUCGGAUCGUGAAUCUCUGUUGUUAGAAAAGAACAAGGAUGAGAGUGGAAAGUUCAUCCCUUGACGGUAACUAGUCAGAAAGCCACGGCUAACUACGUG